rnacentral:lncRNA from 1 species
CGGACUUGGCCCAAUAGAUAGGGCGUCUGCCUACCACAUGGGAGGUCCGCAGUUCAAACCCCAGGCCUCCUUGACCCGUGUGAAGCUGGCCCAUGCGCAGUGCUGAUGUGCGCAACGAGUGCCGUACCAUGCAGGGGUGUCCCCUGCGUAGGGAAGCCCCAUGCUCAAGGAGUGUGCCCCAUAAGGAGAGCCGCCCAGCGCCAAGGAAAGUGCAGCCUGCGCAAGAAUGGUGCUGCACACACGGAGAGCUGACAUAGCAAGAUGACGCACCAAAAAGAAACGGAUUCCUGGUGCUGCUGAUAAGGGUAGAAGCGGUCACAGAAGAACACACAGCGAAUGGACACAGAGAGCAGACAAAUGGGGGGGAGGUGUGGGGGAGGGGAAGGGGAGAGAAAUAAAAAAAUAGAUCUUUACCAAAAAUACAGAAGAUGUUUAAACUCAUUUUUAAAAAGUUUCUUUUUGAAUUUUGACUGUAGAUCUUGGCCUCCCUAAUGGAAGGAAAACAGUUUUUCACACGUCUACAUUUGGAAAAGAGAAUAGAUAAUUUACUGAAGCACAAAUAUAGGGAUCAGGAUCUCUGCCAACAUGCAAGAUCUAGCUCUGGGAAGGAAGACUGGAAGGAAAUAGAAAGGUUUCAAGGUCCUCAGCCUACAGACUGA